AUUGAACGCUGGCGGCAUGCCUUACACAUGCAAGUCGAACGGUAACAGGUCUUCGGAUGCUGACGAGUGGCGAACGGGUGAGUAAUACAUCGGAACGUGCCUAGUAGUGGGGGAUAACUACUCGAAAGAGUGGCUAAUACCGCAUGAGAUCUACGGAUGAAAGCAGGGGAUCGAAAGACCUUGUGCUACUAGAGCGGCCGAUGGCAGAUUAGGUAGUUGGUGGGAUAAAAGCUUACAAAGCCGACGAUCUGUAGCUGGUCUGAGAGGACGAUCAGCCACACUGGGACAGAGACACGGCCCAGGCUCCUACGGGAGGCAGCAGUGGGGAAUUUUGGACAAUGGGCGAAAGCCUGAUCCAGCAAUGCCGCGUGCAGGAUGAAGGCCUUCGGGUUGUAAACUGCUUUUGUACGGAACGAAAAGCCCUGGGUUAAUACCCUGGGGUCAUGACGGUACCGUAAGAAUAAGCACGGGCUAACUACGUGCCAGCAGCCGCCGCAGUAA
rnacentral:rRNA from 1 species